rnacentral:rRNA from 1 species
CCUACGGGUGGCAGCAGUGAGGAAUAUUGGUCAAUGGGCGCGAGCCUGAACCAGCCAAGUCGCGUGAGGGAAGACGGUCCUAUGGAUUGUAAACCUCUUUUGCCGGGGAACAAAAGACGCCACGCGUGGCGUUCCGAGAGUACCCGAAGAACAAGCAUCGGCAAACUCCGUGCCAGAAGCCGCGGUAAUCCGGAGGAUGCGAGCGUUAUCCGGAUUUAUUGGGUUUAAAGGGUGCGCAGGCGGAAGAUGAAGGCAGCGUGAAAAUUGAGAGGCUCAACCUCUUCGAUCCGUUGAAACUGGUUAUCUUGAGUGAGUGAGAAGUAUGCGGAAUGCGUGGUGUAGCGGUGAAAUGCAUAGAUAUCACGCAGAACUCCGAUGGCGAAGGCAGCAUACCGGCGCUCAACUGACGCUCAUGCACGAAAGUGUGGGUAUCGAACAGGAUUAGAUACCCCUGUAGUC